CCACCCCAGGUCACUUAUAAUAGGUCCCUUAUGAUAGGUCAAUUAUGAUACGUGACUUAUGAUAGGUCCCUUAUGAUAGGUCAAUUAUGAUGUUACUUAUGAUAGGUCACUUAUGAUAGGUCAAUUAUGAUGUUACUUAUGAUAGGUCACUUAUGAUAGGUCAAUUAUGAUAGGUUACUUAUGAUAGGUCCCUUAUGAUAGGUCCCUUAUUAUAGGUCAAUUAUGAUGUUACUUAUGAUAGGUCAAUUAUGAUAGGUGACUUAUGAUAGGU